rnacentral:snoRNA from 1 species
GCGGCCAAACCAUCCAAAUCGAUUUCUUUGAAAUUUUGUACAAACAUUCGACAUAUUUUUACGCAUUGCAGAAAGGAGUAAUGAAAAAAUUCCUUACGGGGGUGGGGGUUAUAAUGUAAAAAGUGUGAAUUUUUAUGGUAUUUUGGGAAUAAAAGAGCCUGAAAUGACGAUAAAAAUGGAAAAGUCUUGGUGAAAAGAUUGGUGAAUUUGGACCAAACCAUUGUAACUUAGUCAGAGUCGGAAUUGUAAUAGAGUGCAGACAGAAAAGGUUCAAGCUAGUAAUCUCUUUCAAAGUCCAUCACUAAUGUCUACCAACAAAUUGGCUGCUAGUGAAAAUAAGGUCCUAAGCUAUUAUAUUACUAGUCAGCCGUAAGCCGGCGUAGUCUGAGCGCGCGUUAGAAAUAAGAGCAAAAAUAAAUUCUAAUUAUUUUCCAACAAAGGUUUUUCACUCGAUUGUAAUAUCUGAAAACAUACAAUAAACGCUGACUUUUCCAUUCUUAUUGUCAUUUCAGGCUCUUUUAAGCCCAAGAUACCAUAAAAAAUCACACUUUUUACAUUUUAACCCCCAUCUACGUAAGGAAUUUUUUCAUUACUCCUUUCCGCAAUGCGUACACAUGUGUUGAAUGUUUGUACAAAAUUUCAAUGAAAUCGAUUGUAUGGUUUGGCCGC